rnacentral:rRNA from 1 species
CCUACGGGCGGCAGCAAUGAGGAAUAUUGGUCAAUGGACGCAAGUCUGAACCAGCCAUGCCGCGUGCAGGAUGACGGCUCUAUGAGUUGUAAACUGCUUUUGUACGAGGGUAAACCCCGAUACGUGUAUCGGGUUGAAAGUAUCGUACGAAUAAGGAUCGGCUAACUCCGUGCCAGCAGCCGCGGUAAUACGGAGGAUCCGAGCGUUAUCCGGAUUUAUUGGGUUUAAAGGGUGCGUAGGCGGUUUGAUAAGUUAGAGGUGAAAUGUCGGGGCUCAACCCCGAAACUGCCUCUAAUACUGUUGGACUAGAGAAUAGUGGCGGUAGGCGGAAUGUAUGGUGUAGCGGUGAAAGGCUUAGAGAUCAUACAGAACACCGAUUGCGAAGGCAGCUUACCAAACUAUAUCUGACGUUGAGGCACGAAAGCGUGGGUAGCAAACAGGAUUAGAUACCCGAGUAGUC